rnacentral:rRNA from 1 species
AGUGAACGCUGGCGGCAGGCCUAACACAUGCAAGUCGAGCGGCAGCGCGUCCGACCACCCUCGGGUGGUCGGAUGGCGGCGAGCGGCGGACGGGUGAGGAAUGCAUCGGAAUCUGCCUCGUUGUGGGGAUAACGUAGGGAAACUUACGCUAAUACCGCAUACGACCUACGGGUGAAAGUGGGGGACCUUCGGGCCUCACGCGAUGAGAUGAGCCGAUGCCGGAUUAGCUAGUUGGCGGGGUAAAGGCCCACCAAGGCGACGAUCCGUAGCUGGUCUGAGAGGAUGAUCAGCCACACUGGAACUGAGACACGGUCCAGACUCCUACGGGAGGCAGCAGUGGGGAAUAUUGGACAAUGGGGGCAACCCUGAUCCAGCCAUGCCGCGUGUGUGAAG